AACGUAGGUGGCGAGCGUUAUCCGGAUUCACUGGGUUUAAAGGGUGCGUAGGUGGGCAGUUAAGUCAGUGGUGAAAUCUCCGGGCUCAACCCGGAAACUGCCAUUGAUACUAUCUGUCUUGAAUAUCGUGGAGGUAAGCGGAAUAUGUCAUGUAGCGGUGAAAUGCUUAGAUAUGACAUAGAACACCAAUUGCGAAGGCAGCUUACUACCCGAAUAUUGACACUGAGGCACGAAAGCGUGGGGAUCAAACAGG
rnacentral:rRNA from 1 species